rnacentral:lncRNA from 14 species
GGGCGGAGCAAUGGCGGCCUCCGCUGCGUGAGCGGGGCUGAGCGCAGGGGAGCUUCGCUGGUUGGGGUACCAGUUGAUCCUCCCUGUAACCUUUGAGCCCAGUGACCAACUUCCAUCAAACUUGACAAGAGGCAGCAAUCUCAGCUAUUACAACACUGAAUGUUUCAAGAUCUAAGGGGCUAUUGAGAGAGAGACCUUACAAAUGGACCUGCUAACAAUAAAGGUGGCUAAAGAGCACCCUGCCAAAAGAGGCUGUGUCUUUUUCCUUGCUUGUGAGCCUCAGAAAGAGCAUCCAGUGUGCUCACCUCCAGUAAGAAGCUAUUACUCGUGAGUCUUUCAGCUCUGUUCAUUGAGGUGACCAUACAAACACAGCACACGUAUAAAUAUGUUCUGUGUUCUACUGUGGACCCUCCUUUUUCAGCGUUUCCUGUUGUAAGAUGAAUUGAGAUGGGGAGAAAUAUAUAAGCUUUGACAUCACAU